rnacentral:rRNA from 1 species
CGCUGCUAUACUGCAGUCGAGCGAACAGAUAAGGAGCUUGCUCCUUUGACGUUAGCGGCGGACGGGUGAGUAACACGUGGGUAACCUACCUAUAAGACUGGGAUAACUUCGGGAAACCGGAGCUAAUACCGGAUAACAUUUGGAACCGCAUGGUUCUAAAGUGAAAGAUGGUUUUGCUAUCACUUAUAGAUGGACCCGCGCCGUAUUAGCUAGUUGGUAAGGUAACGGCUUACCAAGGCGACGAUACGUAGCCGACCUGAGAGGGUGAUCGGCCACACUGGAACUGAGACACGGUCCAGACUCCUACGGGAGGCAGCAGUAGGGAAUCUUCCGCAAUGGGCGAAAGCCUGACGGAGCAACGCCGCGUGAGUGAUGAAGGGUUUCGGCUCGUAAAACUCUGUUAUUAGGGAAGAACAAACGUGUAAGUAACUGUGCACGUCUUGACGGUACCUAAUCAGAAAGCCACGGCUAACUACGUGCCAGCAGCCGCGGUAAUACGUAGGUGGCAAGCGUUAUCCGGAAUUAUUGGGCGUAAAGCGCGCGUAGGCGGUUUCUUAAGUCUGAUGUGAAAGCCCACGGCUCAACCGUGGAGGGUCAUUGGAAACUGGGAAACUUGAGUGCAGAAGAGGAAAGUGGAAUUCCAUGUGUAGCGGUGAAAUGCGCAGAGAUAUGGAGGAACACCAGUGGCGAAGGCGACUUUCUGGUCUGUAACUGACGCUGAUGUGCGAAAGCGUGGGGAUCAAACAGGAUUAGAUACCCUGGUAGUCCACGCCGUAAACGAUGAGUGCUAAGUGUUAGGGGGUUUCCGCCCCUUAGUGCUGCAGCUAACGCAUUAAGCACUCCGCCUGGGGAGUACGACCGCAAGGUUGAAACUCAAAGGAAUUGACGGGGACCCGCACAAGCGGUGGAGCAUGUGGUUUAAUUCGAAGCAACGCGAAGAACCUUACCAAAUCUUGACAUCCUUUGAAAACUCUAGAGAUAGAGCCUUCCCCUUCGGGGGACAAAGUGACAGGUGGUGCAUGGUUGUCGUCAGCUCGUGUCGUGAGAUGUUGGGUUAAGUCCCGCAACGAGCGCAACCCUUAAGCUUAGUUGCCAUCAUUAAGUUGGGCACUCUAGGUUGACUGCCGGUGACAAACCGGAGGAAGGUGGGGAUGACGUCAAAUCAUCAUGCCCCUUAUGAUUUGGGCUACACACGUGCUACAAUGGACAAUACAAAGGGCAGCUAAACCGCGAGGUCAUGCAAAUCCCAUAAAGUUGUUCUCAGUUCGGAUUGUAGUCUGCAACUCGACUACAUGAAGCUGGAAUCGCUAGUAAUCGUAGAUCAGCAUGCUACGGUGAAUACGUUCCCGGGUCUUGUACACACCGCCCGUCACACCACGAGAGUUUGUAACACCCGAAGCCGGUGGAGUAACCAUUUAUGGAGCUAGCCGUCGAAGGUA